rnacentral:rRNA from 1 species
CCUACGGGAGGCUGCAGUGGGGAAUAUUGCACAAUGGGGGAAACCCUGAUGCAGCGACGCCGCGUGAGUGAAGAAGUAUUUCGGUACGUAAAGCUCUAUCAGCAGGGAAGAAAAAAAGUCCUUUGGACUUUGGACGGUACCUGACUAAGAAGCCCCGGAGAACUACGUGCCAGCAGCCGCGGUAAUACGUAGGGGGCAAGCGUUAUCCGGAUUUACUGGGGGUAAAGGGAGCGUAGACGGCAGCGCAAGUCUGGAGUGAAAUGCCGGGGCCCAACCCCGGAACUGCUUUGGAAACUGUGCAGCUGGAGUGCAGGAGAGGUAUGCGGAAUGCCUAGUGUAGCGGUGAAAUGCGUAGAUAUUAGGAGGAACACCAGUGGCGAAGGCGGCUUACUGGACCGUAACUGACGUUGAGGCUCGAAAGCGUGGGGAGCAAACAGGAUUAGAUACCCUUGUAGUC